rnacentral:rRNA from 1 species
CGCGUAGGCGGUUUGUUAAGUCGGAUGUGAAAGCCCCGGGCUCAACCUGGGAACUGCAUUCGAUACUGGCAGGCUAGAGUAUGGUAGAGGGAAGUGGAAUUCCGGGUGUAGCGGUGAAAUGCGUAGAUAUCCGGAGGAACAUCAGUGGCGAAGGCGGCUUCCUGGACCAAUACUGACGCUGAGGUGCGAAAGCGUGGGGAGCAAACA